GACGAACGCUGGCGGCGUGCUUAACACAUGCAAGUCGAACGGUGAAGCUCCAGCUUGCUGGAGUGGAUCAGUGGCGAACGGGUGAGUAACACGUGAGCAACCUGCCCCUGACUCUGGAAUAAGCGCUGGAAACGGCGUCUAAUACUGGAUACGAGAAGGGUCCGCAUGGGCACUUUCUGGAAAGUUUUUCGGUUGGGGAUGGGCUCGCGGCCUAUCAGCUUGUUGGUGAGGUAAUGGCUCACCAAGGCGACGACGGGUAGCCGGCCUGAGAGGGCGACCGGCCACACUGGGACUGAGACACGGCCCAGACUCCUACGAGAGGCAGCAGUGGGGAAUAUUGCACAAUGGGCGAAAGCCUGAUGCAGCGACGCCGCGUGAGGGAUGACGGCCUUCGGGUUGUAAACCUCUUUCAGCAGGGAAGAAGCGAAAGUGACGGUACCUGCAGAAGAAGCACCGGCUAACUACGUG
rnacentral:rRNA from 1 species